UAGGCAUGUCUUGCCAUUUCCCCAGCGAGUGCCCACCUUUUCCCGUCUCAGUUGACUGAUUAAGGGAGUAUGUGAUUAGAAUUGCUUGGAAGGCCUUGCUAUUCUGGUGCAGAUGUGUAUUUAAUGACUGAGAGAUGUUGCUCCUAGGCACAGAGGUGAAAGGAGAGGUGUGCCAACGCAGGGUAACCAGCAGGGAGCCGACUGGCCCGAGAAGAUGGAAACAGGUGCUAGAGGGCUACAGGUAUUACACGCUCUGCACCAUCCCAAAAUCACCUUUUCUAGUUACGCAUAAAUUUCAUCCUGUCCAUAGUAGAGGGCAUCACUUGCUUAUUGAGUGCCCUGAAGCACACAUUAGUUUUGGGCACUUCCAAGUCCAUCCUUGAAGUCUCUCUGUUCAAAUGCAGGCAGUGUGAAUUUGGUAGUUUUCUCCAUUUGGUCCUAAAUCUGAAGGGGUGGACUGACUCCCACCUCUAGCAUAACUGACAAUCACAACACCUAAUUUGUAUGUCAUUUCCAUUUCUGGGGCAGUGAGGCCCAAGUGUUUCUUGUGUGACAGCUUACCUCUCUAGGGAUUCCAGGGGUUCUGGACUCCUGUGACUGGAUGGAUGGACUUUAAGAUGGUUGGCACUUUGCUUCUCUGAAACGGUCCAUCAUCACCUCUUGGGGAGGGGCUCUGCACACUUCUAUCUUGUCAGCAUAUUCAGUUGAGGGGAUCUUUUUAACCUAAAAACACAGGUGUGUGAACCUCAAACAGAUGAAGACCCAGGGGUUGCAAGUCUCCCGUGUGCCUCCUCCUCCCUUGAGAUAGCUUCCAAGCCUCCCCUGCACACGUCCGUCAGGUUUCUUGGCACGGCCACGGUCUUUGACUUAAAUUGAAGCAUGUUAUCAGAAAGGUUCCCAUCUGUGAUUCUGUCACUGAAGUCAGAAAAGCUCUAAUUCAGAAAGUUUUAAGAACAAAAAGGGACAAAAUGUACCCGCUUGGAUAACCUGUUUGAUGCCCUUUACCUUGUGACAUAGUCUCACCUGCAUGAGCAGGACAUGCUCCAGGAGACAAGGAAACAACUCCCACCACAGUGCUAGUGCUCUUCUGGGGAGUCCCUGUACCCCCAAAUGUGGGCAGUGCCAUUCAGGCUGGGGCCAAAGAUCACUCAGCCCAGUGAUCAACCUGCUUCCCUUUGGCCCAAAGAUCCCAUUUCUGCAGGAGUAGAGCACAGUGAUGAAGAGAUGACUCACUGCCCUGAUUUCUGACUCAUGGACACUUGCUGGCAUCUGAGUGUCUUCACCAUCCUUUUAGAACCCGAGGCAGGUAAGAGGGGCUCUUCUGUGACCUGUGGUCCUAGUUCUGACCUGGAAGGCUGUGCCCAGUAGGACAGCUCACUGCCUGCUUUCAGGGGUAAGCUGUGAGGUUCAUUUUUAUCUCUCUGGCUCCUUGUGCAGUGUAGGCAGCAAGGAUCCUCCUUAGUAUCUAAGGCAAAGGUUUGGUCAACAGUGCUUAAUACUAAAGAAUAGCCUUCUGGGGUUUUUCCCCUGUAUUCCCCCCCCCCACACACACACUCCCCUUCCCCUGGUCCCUUACAAACUGAUAUAAGCAGCAUUUUAUCAACACAAUAUAGGGCCAAUUUUCUUGUGAGGAAAGAAUUUUCAUCUCACAUCAUUUCCAGGCACAUGGGUUAAGGAGAAGCACAGUUGAGUGGAAGAAAUGGUAGGUGAAAUAGUAAGAUGUUUCCCGCAUUAACUAGGACAUCCAACUGUAAGUUGUAAGCUGUAGGUCUGCCAGUCAGCACCCCCGCCUCCACUGUAAGAUGCUGAGUUGCAAGGCUCCUUCGUCAGUGUGGGGCUCACUUUUGCAGUCCCUCAUCACUAACAAAUGCACUAUUUUCCAGAGGACUAUUUUUGUAUGUGUUUGCCUUCUCUUUGUCCAUUACGCACCAGGGUUGUUUCUUCAUAAUAUGAUUCUUCACUUCUCUGAACAGUGUCCUUGGAGAAUUACACAUUUCUCAUGGGCCAUUUUUCCCACGGCAUUUAGACGCAGCUGUUUUUAUCCUUUGCAGUCCUUUUCUGCCUUCUCCUGUCUGUCUCUCAAGGACGGAAAUUACGAGAGUGGGAAGGAUAGCUUUAGCACCUGCUUCACAAGAUCUAAGCCAGGAAUCCCUUCGCACACCAAGAACUGGGGCUUGGAGCACAUCUUUCUCCCCGCCAGUUCUCGUGCCUUACACUCCAGAGUCCCAUGGCGGCUGGCAGAGGAGGGAGGCAAAGGUAACUCCGUUUCAGGCUGAGGGUUCCAUCGCCCGCUCACCUCUCCUUCCCCAGAACAGGUGGGUGUGGGGAGAGGCUGCCCCAGCUCGUCUCAGUGAGGGGCUCUCCAGCAGCACAGCUCACACCUUCCUCUCUGGUCACCUCUCGGGCUGUGUCAAAGCGCCGCUGUAAUGACUGUAAAGUGCCAUGGCUCAAUAUCCGCAUCUAUAAACGUGCAGUUCUGUUCACCCCCUUCCUGUCCCUUUGUUGUGUAGCGUGAGCAUGUGGUCCUGAAGCCAUUGGAGGAACUUAGGUAAAUGGGAUCUUCUCUCAAGGGCCAUGGUCACAGGCCCACAGGGUGACCGAGCCUUCCUGCCUCCAUGAACAUGGUAUUAUCAAGCCAGAUUUCAGUUGUUUUUCUUUUCAUAUUACCAGGUUUAUAAAUGAAUAAACAGACAUUUUAAUUACUCUUA